UUGUUUUUUGUUGUGAUAAGAUGUGAUUCUUCAUAUUGAUAAUGUUGCAGGGCUCAUGGAACUACUUCUGGGAUUGUACACUCCAUUGAUAUUCAUCCAUCAAGAAAACACACUUGUAUUGCAGGAGGCUCUUCUGGUACUGUAUUUGCAUGGGAUCUUCGGUGGCAACAGCAGCCAAUAGUUCUUUCUGGGGUUGCAGCAGGUGAGUUUCAGUCCCACUCAUUAUCUGAGAGUGAAAUUUGGGAGGUCCAGUAUGACAGCUAUUCUUUAAACUUGGUAACAUGUCAACAUCACGGGUGUUACCUGUUAUGAUCUGCUCAGAAGAUGAAAUCCUUGCUGUUGUUGAACAAGGUGAGGAACCCGUUG